AGAAUUGCCACCCAAGUAGAUUCUGUUGGAGAUGGGAGGAGAAAGGGAGGAAAGGGAGUAGAGAAGGCCACACACAAUCUUAAAUUCAAUAUUUCACUCCCGUUAAAGAUAAGCUGUUUAUAAGCUCCAGUGUAGGGCAUGUAAUUCUAUGUAAAAACUCUGUGGUUCCUCUUCCCACAUGUAAAUCAUGAUCACUCUACAUUCUGCUCUCUGGGAGCCCUCAAGGCAAAGAGACAACAAGCCUCGAGAUAUAGUAAUAAAAGUCUGGGUAUUAUAAAAUCCACCCUGAGCUCCAAGAAAAGAAUAGAAAGAAGGAAGCUCUGAAAAGUACUAAUUUACCAAAGUACAAUGCAGUUUUGUAAAUUUUUAUUAACAUCCUCGGAAAUCCAAAUGCCCAUCUUGAUAGCUGAGGGUUUUUUUCCUCAAUUAUGGCUAUAUAUGCUUUAAAGAUAAACUAUGAAUUCUCUUUAAACUAAGUGCCUUGAUAAAAUAAUGAGUAUUAAAUACAUUUCAGACCACAGAAAGGACUUAUCACAAGUCUUUGUGGUAGCUGAGGAGUGCCCCCUACAGACUGAUAUGCACAAUGCAAGCAGAUGAAGAGGAAAGAACUGAGCAGCAGUAUUUCAGGAUUCUCAAUAAGGCAUCAAUGAAAAAAGUUACAACAUCAUAGAUCCUCUUUCAAUGAUGUGCACAAGUAGAUUUUAUUUUGGCAAUGCUGCUAUUGCUGUGUAAAAGUGCCUUCACCUAAACCCUCUCACAAUGAAGCCAGCCACAGAACCACUUAACAUCUGUGAUUUACGGUUUACAAGGCACUUCCAUGACAUCAUCUCACUCUUCAGGACAGUAUGUGAUACCAUGUGUUACCUCAUAGCACAUGCUACAAAUUAUCACCAUGUUGGGAAACUUUGGCUUAGAGAUACUCUUGAAGAUUGGGCCCAGACCUUGAGCCCAAGUUGUGUGAUUCUAGGUCCAUUUAACCACAUCCCUUACCUGAUUGUGGUAAACGCACCGAGUUCCCCUUCCUCCAAGCUCCAGGCUCCACGUUCACAAGGUCUGUCACUGUGUCACCAUCUUUUGUGACACUGCUUGUGCAGAUGAAAUAAAAUGUCCAAUUUCUGAGGCUGCUGUUAAACCUCAAAAAACAGGCUGCUUCAAUGGAUAAGAUUUUGAUUACCACACUUUUUCUGGGCAGAGACUUAAGCUAAUCAUUCAAAUGGGGCUAAAAUACUCUGUUUUAGCCAAUCCAUCAAUUCUCAGUAGGAAAUGUUAGGUUGCUGGCUUAAAAUAUUAAAUAUGACAAGAUUCCAUUAACAUGGAUUUCUUUGUUGGAUAUUCACAGAAGAGUUUCCAUGUGAGAAAGAAUUCUGCUGACAUAUGUCGAUAUUCGCUUCCACUGCUAAUGAGGGGUCCCCUUGGUCUCCAAGUUUCUUAGUCUCUGUCUCUCUCCAGCACCACCAAACUCCUCUUAACAUCUUGGAAAAUGGGUACCGAAGUAAUGGAGUCAGUUAUCAACUGACAGCUCUGAGAUAUGACUAGAGAUGAUCAAACAUUAUUUGGAAUCUUCUCUGAAACAUACAUGGAAAAGUGGAAAUUGUUCUUUGUAGCUGAUAAGAACUCAUGAAGUGAUGUAGAAUAGAACCAGAGAAGGCACCUUAGAGUUCAAUUGUCCAACAAGCUCAUUUUCAGCUGAGAAAACUGAGCCUCAGAGAAGAGAACCUUUAAUAUAAAUCAUGGUCAUUGCAAAUACAUUAAAAAUGAUGAAAAUCUCUCCUGUCCAUUUACCUUCUGCAGAUUAUCUUUCAUUCCAAUGCAGCAAGUGCCAUUUUCUCUGGAUUUUUUUCCUUCUGUUGCUGACUCGUCUUUCUCAGUGCUGUAAACUUCUUGUUGACUCCUCGCUGAAAUGAAUUAUUUGUGUUUAUUUAACAUUCAGUCUGCACUUUUUUCCUCAUGUUAAAUAUGUGGACUCUGGGACUACCUGGAUUUGAAUCCUACUUUUAUCAGAUGUUGGAUAAGAGACUUAAUCUCUCUGGCCUGCAUUUCCUCAUCUUUAACAUAAUGAUAAAGUUGUAGCUACAUAAUAGAUGUUAGAAGAGAAUAAAAUGAGAUUAUAGAUGU